UACGUAGGGUGCGAGCGUUGUCCGGAAUUAUUGGGCGUAAAGAGCUCGUAGGCGGUGUGUCGCGUCGGCCGUGAAAACCUGGGGCUUAACUCUGGGCGUGCGGUCGAUACGGGCAUCACUAGAGUUCGGCAGGGGAGACUGGAAUUCCUGGUGUAGCGGUGAAAUGCGCAGAUAUCAGGAGGAAUACCGAUGGCGAAGGCAGGCCUCUGGGCUGACACUGACGCUGAGGAGCGAAAGCGUGGGGAGCGAACAGG
rnacentral:rRNA from 1 species